AAUGUUGAAAAAUUAGCGGAUGACCUGUGGCUGGGGGUGAAAGGCCAAUCAAACCGGGAGAUAGCUGGUUCUCCCCGAAAGCUAUUUAGGUAGCGCCUCGUGAAUUCAUCUCCGGGGGUAGAGCACUGUUUCGGCUAGGGGGCCAUCCCGGCUUACCAACCCGAUGCAAACUGCGAAUACCGGAGAAUGUUAUCACGGGAGACACACGGCGGGUGCUAACGUCCGUCGUGAAGAGGGAAACAACCCAGACCGCCAGCUAAGGUCCCAAAGUCAUGGUUAAGUGGGAAACGAUGUGGGAAGGCCCAGACAGCCAGGAUGUUGGCUUAGAAGCAGCCAUCAUUUAAAGAAAGCGUAAUAGCUCACUGGUCGAGUCGGCCUGCGCGGAAGAUGUAACGGGGCUAAACCAUGCACCGAAGCUGCGGCAGCGACGCUGAUGCGUUGUUGGGUAGGGGAGCGUUCUGUAAGCCUGUGAAGGUGGCCUGUGAGGGUUGCUGGAGGUAUCAGAAGUGCGAAUGCUGACAUAAGUAACGAUAA
rnacentral:rRNA from 1 species